rnacentral:rRNA from 1 species
CUCAAGCGACUGUUUAACAAAAACACAGGUCUCUGCUAAGUCGUAAGACGACGUAUAGGGGCUGACGCCUGCCCGGUGCUGGAAGGUUACAGAGAGGAGUCAAGGGGAUUCGUCCCCUGAAGCCCUGAACUUAAGCCCCAGUGAACGGCGGCCGUAACUAUAACGGUCCUAAGGUAGCGAAAUACCUUGUCGGGUAAGUUCCGACGCGCAUGAAUGGUACAACGACUUGAGCGCUGUCUCAAAGAGGGAUUCGGUGAAAUAGCAGUGCCCGUGCAGAUGCGGGCUACGUGUGGCAGGACGGAAAGACCCCGUAGAGCUUUACUGUACUCUGAUAUUGAAGUUUGGUUGUGGCUGCACAGGAUAGAUGGGAGACUUUGAACCUGGGGCUUUGGCCUCAGCGGAGUCGUCCUUGGGAUACCAUCCUUCUUCAACUCGACUUCUAACUCCUCGCCCUCAGCGGGCUGGAGGACAAUGUCAGACGGGCAGUUUGACUGGGGCGGUCGCCUCCCAAAGAGUAACGGAGGCGCCCAAAGGUUCCCUCAGGCUGUUUGGAAAUCAGCCAUAGAGUGUAAAGGCAUAAGGGAGCUUGACUGUAAGAGAGACAUCUCGAGCAGACACGAAAGUGGGGCUUAGUGAUCUGGUGGUUGCAGCAUGGAAUGGCCAUCACUCAACGGAUAAAAGCUACCUCGGGGAUAACAGGCUUAUCCCUCCCGAGAGUCCACAUCGACGGGGGGGUUUGGCACCUCGAUGUCGGCUCGUCCUAUCCUGGAGCUGGAGCAGGUUCCAAGGGUCCGGCUGUUCGCCGGUUAAAAGGGCACGCGAGCUGGGUUCAGAACGUCGUAAGACAGUUCGGUCCUUAUCCGCCACAUGUAUUAGAGAUUUGACGAGAUUUCCCGGUAGUACGAGAGGACCCCGGGAAGUCGACCGCUGGUGUACCAGUUGUCCCGCCAGGGGCACGGAGCUGGGUAGCUAUGUCGACAUUGGAUAAGUGCUGAAGGCAUAUAAGCGCGAAGCCAACUCGAAGACGUGAUCUCUCAUCGUCGCAAGACGAGGUAGACCCCUGGUAGACUACCAGGUUGAUAGGCUGGAGGUGUAAGCACAGCAAUGUGUUGAGCUGACCAGUACUAAUAGGUCGGGGACGUAAUUG